AUUGAACGCUGGCGGCAGGCCUAACACAUGCAAGUCGAGCGGUAACAGGAAAGCGCUUGCGCUUUUGCUGACGAGCGGCGGACGGGUGAGUAAUGUCUGGGGAUCUGCCCGAGGGCGGGGGAUAACCACUGGAAACGGUGGCUAAUACCGCAUAAUGUCGCGAGACCAAAGUGGGGGACCUGAAAGGGCCUCACGCCAUCGGAUGAACCCAGAUGGGAUUAGCUGGUAGGUAGGGUAAUGGCCUACCUAGGCGACGAUCCCUAGCUGGUCUGAGAGGAUGACCAGCCACACUGGGACUGAGACACGGCCCAGACUCCUACGGGAGGCAGCAGUGGGGAAUAUUGCACAAUGGGCGCAAGCCUGAUGCAGCCAUGCCGCGUGUAUGAAGAAGGCCUUCGGGUUGUAAAGUACUUUCAGCGGGGAGGAAGGGUGUA
rnacentral:rRNA from 1 species